ACAGAGGGGCCACAGUGAGGUUUGAGGCAUGUGUCCUCAUGACUGGAAGGACCCAGGGCAGGCCAGAUGCCCUAGGAUGCAAGAUGGAAGAGGGUAGGUGCCAGGAAGAACAGCUGCAGUAUGUCACACACAGUCUCGACUGAAGCUGCAGAAGUGAGAGAUCAGCAUUGCAUUUUCCAGUGUGAAGUUGGAAUUCCUUCUCUACAUUAUUCCUAAAUCAUCCCUAGUGUAUCGUGUAAUUCAGAUGUGUAUCAGGCAAUCCUUUGAGUAAAUGAGAACAGGAAAGGGCAGAGGAAAAGUAGUGUAGGUCAUUGAGGGAGGGUACAAAGUUGUUCUCCACACAUUCAGAGACUCAGCCUCUUGCCAUCCUUUGAUGCCACCAUCUUCAACACGUGACCUCCAAGUUUUCUCUGGAACAGGAAGAGCGAACAGAAGAUUAAAUGUGAGAGAUUUUAUGGCCAAGGGGUGGCACAUCAUCACUUCUGUCCACUUUCCCUUGUUCAGAACUCAACCACAAGAUGCCAAGCUAUUUGCUGAGGAUCUGGACAUUUAGCUGUGUGUCCAGUGAGGAAGAAAACUGGGUUUGGUGAACACAUACCAUUGUCUCUGCCAUGGAAGUGAUAAUUUACACUCCAGCUGGUGAUCGAUCAUCUCAGAAUGGUGCAUGAGGUGAGCUGACAACGGCAGCCAGGGGAAGGAACGCGAGGGCCCAGGAUGGAAAUGAGAGCUUCAAAUGUGAGAACACAUUCCAGCUGCAGGAUCAGAGGACUUUUCCUACAGCCCAUAAGUGCCUGCAGCUCUAUCGGAUUUGCAAAUCUACAAAAGAGAGCACAUCCUAUUGUUCCCGGUUUUGAGUUUUUUUAAUAGUAUGUCUUGUAAAAUGCUGGUUGCUGGUGGACAGGGGUGUUUUACAGAUAGGUGUGACUCAGGAGGGGAAAUGGGUGGGCAGAGACAGCCACAAGGAAUUCCACACAUGAAGGAAAUGCUCCCACUUGUGUUUUCUAUUUGUGUUUUAAAUUUGGGGAGCGACUCACAGGCACUCAGCAAAAGUAACUAAUUAUAUUAACCUUAUCAGUAGUGAGGUUUCCUGGUCUCUCAUCAGACACUCAGCUCACUGGCUGGUAUUUAAUUGGGAGCCUGGUGGCCAGUGAAAACAGUGUGGGAUGAGUCACACUUUAACAAGUUUUUAUAGUACAGCAACCUUGCUGUAUAAUAGCCAGACAUUAUUAAAAUUCAGAUAUGGUACACUGACUUGUUUGUUUUCCUUAUUCACAUGAAACAGAUGCUCAGGACUCAUUUUACUUACACACAGUAAAUGAGGGUCAGCUGUGUUGAGGGAAGUGAGUACUUUGUUCUGGAAGGAUAGAUGUUGUAGCAAUUGUCUUGCUCUGAUUGUAUUUGAAAAGAAUGAAUGUUGUUAGUACAAUUUGGUAUUCUUCCAAUGCCUAGUUGGAGUUCAAGGGAUAUAAAACUGGGCGCUUGAGGAGUGGGAUGGAAAAGGAUGGAGAAGGAAGGUCAAAUAUGGCUUUGAAGGGGAUCAGCAGAAGCCAGAGGCCGCAGUGGUGAACACUCCUUGUGAAUGGCCCUUUGCACCCACGGCUUGGUGAACCCAGCAUGGACCGUGGAGAGAGGACCUGCCUAAAAACCAGAGACGGGGUUUGCCUCUCCGCAUCACCACUGGCUUGCUGCAUCAAGAAUCUGCCUUUCAGCUUCUUCACCUGAAACAAGGUGAUUGGGAUAGCUGGUUUUAUUUAUUUAUUUUUGAGGCCAUUCUAGCACUUUGUAAAGUCCAAGGGGGUGUGGUAUUGUAAUUCUUGGAAUAAUACAAUGAACAUCAGAUGCUUUGAAGUUUUCCGUUCGGUGGAUUCUGGGAUUCUUUUCUGAAUGAGUGAUUACUAGCCAACAGGAAUCUCAUGGUUCAACCUCAAACUCAAAAGUUAUUUCGGGGAUGGAAAAUGGUAAGAUUGGGGAAAAUCCUUCCACCUUCACCCCUGUGAAUUAGGAGUCUUGUUAAUUAGUAUACAUGAUUAAAUAUUGAGAUUUAUAGGCAUCAACUUGUGUGACCUGUGACAGUUGGGUAUCAAAACACGUUUAUCUGCAUUUCCACUAUCACUUUGCAAUUUAUUCAGUGGAGCUGUCCAAUGAUGACAACUGUUAUCAUCCUUUCUCCAAAAGGUAGCAAACGUCAAUAAUUUUUUGUCACAAACUGCCUUUAUUCGAGUCCCUCUCCCUCUCUCUCAUUGCUACAGGGUCAGGGACCCAUAUAGGUUUUUAAAAUCACCUCGUGGGCAAAUGUGGACGCUUUUGUACACUAUCCAUGAGUUAUAAGGUUGGUGGUGGUGAGGAUGUGAGGCUGGGUCUGGGAACGUGGGACUGUCUCCACACACGGUACAGUGUCAUAUGAAGGAAGGGAGCCAAUGGAGGAGAGGAUGGAAUUUCAGAAAUGCUGGCCAGUGCUCACAGUGUGGCCCUUGGGAGAACUGCCUUUCUUCAUCAGCAGUGACAUCCACACAUACCUGUAUGGUCUAUAAAUAUAGUAAAGGAGGGUCUGUGGAAUGAGGAAUGCAGUGAAUUAACUAAUGUGGAUAUAUGCUUUGUAAUGCAUACAAGGUGUUUGCAUGUGUGAUCUCACUGGCUCUCAGUACAGUUAGGCUUGGGUUCCACCAUUAUUUACCACCUAGUUUCCAUCUACUAUUUGGCAACUUAAAAAAGUGAAUCAGAGGAGUUAAAUGACCUGCCUUGGUCACUAAGCUCAUAAGUGGCAGAGUGGAGACUUGAACCCAGGGCUUCUGACCCCUAAAAUU
rnacentral:lncRNA from 1 species